ACUCCUACGGGAGGCAGCAGUGGGGAAUAUUGCACAAUGGGGAAAGCCCAUCGAUGCAGCCAUGCCGCGCUGUGUGAAGAAGGCCAAUUCGGGCUUUGGUUAAAGACACUUUCAGUUGUGAGGAAAGGUUGGUAGUUAAUACCUGCCAGCUGUGACGUUAACAACAGAAGAAGCACCGGCUAACUCCGUGCCAGCAGCCGCGGUAAUACGGAGGGUGCGAGCGUUAAUCGGAAUUACUGGGCGUAAAGCGCACGCAGGCGGCUUGUUAAGCUAGAGGUGAAAGCCCCGCGCUCAAACGUGGGAACUGCCUUUAGAAUUGGCAGGCUAGAUCUUGGAGAGGGGAGUGGAAUUCCAGGUGUAGCGGUGAAAUGCGUAGAUAUCUGGAGGAACAUCAGUGGCGAAGGCGGCUCCCUGGCCAAAGACUGACGCUCAUGUGCGAAAGUGUGGUAGCGAACAGGAUUAGAUACCCUGGUAGGAUAGCGU
rnacentral:rRNA from 1 species